GAUUUUCUAGGUGUUGUAGGACGGAUUCCUCCAUGGAUAUUUCCUCGUCACUCGAUCUAUUGUCUCCUUUAUCAUGCUCCAAUUUUACGGCAGCCUCUGCGUGUGGUGCCUUCAAAUUUUAGUUCAACCCUCAAUAAUCAUGCAAAGUUCGCCCCUGCUUGAAUGCAGGUGAAAUAUUCCCAAAAUUUCCUUCCACCAAAAAGCAUGAGAAGUAACCUGGAUUGUUCCCUGCAUCUGCCUCAAUGCAAAUUUAAAACUCCAAGUGAGCCAAAAAUCUUUUCA
rnacentral:misc_RNA from 1 species